rnacentral:rRNA from 1 species
AGGACGAACGCUGGCGGCGUGCUUAACACAUGCAAGUCGAGCGGAAAGGCCCUUCGGGGUACUCGAGCGGCGAACGGGUGAGUAACACGUGAGUAAUCUGCCCCUAGCUCUGGGAUAGCUCCGGGAAACCGGGAUUAAUACCAGAUACGACCACUUUAGACAUCUUCUGUGGUGGAAAGAACUUCGGCUAGGGAUGAACUCGCGGCCUAUCAGCUUGUUGGUGAGGUAACGGCUCACCAAGGCGACGACGGGUAGCCGGCCUGAGAGGGCGACCGGCCACACUGGGACUGAGACACGGCCCCAGACUCCUACGGGAGGCAGCAGUGGGGAAUAUUGCGCAAUGGGCGAAAGCCUGACGCAGCGACGCCGCGUGGGGGAUGAAGGCCUUCGGUUGUAACCCUUUCAGCAGGGACGAGCGAAGUGACGGUACCUGCAGAAGAAGCGCCGGCUAACUACGUGCCAGCAGCCGC